rnacentral:rRNA from 1 species
UACGUAGGGUGCGAGCGUUGUCCGGAAUUAUUGGGCGUAAAGAGCGCGCAGGCGGUCGUUCAAGUCGCGUGUGAAAGCCCCCGGCUCAACUGGGGAGGGUCACGCGAUACUGAUCGACUCGAAGGCAGGAGAGGGAAGUGGAAUUCCCGGUGUAGUGGUGAAAUGCGUAGAUAUCGGGAGGAACACCAGUGGCGAAGGCGACUUCCUGGCCUGUUCUUGACGCUGAGGCGCGAAAGCUAGGGGAGCAAACGGGG